AUCUGUUUGCAUGCUUUCACUUCACACAUAAGCAGAUCAAUUUCUUCUCCUGCGAAUCUGUCCUUCCUACUCAGCAAAUCCUCCAUCAUAAGAGCACUGCUCCAAGGUCCAAACGCCCCUGGCUGUUACAGGGAAUGGGAGAGGACCUCUGAUUGGUUGAUGAAUGGGAG